GAGCUGGGAUUGGUGACACUGCGUGCAGCACUGCUCCUCCAGGACACACCAGGAAACGCCUUAUGGAAACAGCAACAAUGCCGCUGAGCCCUGCGCCGUCCCCUGGCUCCCAGCUGCCAGACGGAGGCAAUGUCGCAGCUGCCAUGGCCCGGAUCCAUGUGGCUUAUUAAUAAUCAACUUUUAUUGCUGCCCGUCUGCAGACAGCCGUGUGUGUGGGACUCAGUCCUUUUGUCCUCAGCAUCAGGGUCCUCCAUGGCUGCAGCAGGGAGGAGAAAGCCUGGAAGCCGCCCCUAUGGACCCACUCUGCUCCUCCAGCUCCUGCAUUACAUUUGCACAGCUGUCUGCCCGUGCUGGAGCAGGAACGUGCCCCUCCGAAGCAGCGCGGAGAUUAAUGGGCUGGAAGGAACAGGGCAGCUCUGCAUGCCGUCCUCGUCCCAGCACUGUGGCCCCACGCCGGCUCCACUCCAGCAGCUCCUCUGAAACAUCCCAGUUCGAAGUGAUUUUACAACAAGCCUUCGUUUCCAGGGAGUCUGACCUCCUCAUUAAUAAAUCAGCUGUGUUAUUGAAUGCA